rnacentral:rRNA from 1 species
UCAUGGCUCAGAUUGAACGCUGGCGGCAGGCCUAACACAUGCAAGUCGAACGGCAGCACAGAAGAGCUUGCUCUUUGGGUGGCGAGUGGCGGACGGGUGAGUAACACGUAGGAAUCUACCCAGUAGUGGGGGAUAACCUGGGGAAACCCAGGCUAAUACCGCAUACGCCCUGAGGGGGAAAGCGGGGGAUCUUCGGACCUCGCGCUAUUGGAUGAGCCUGCGUCGGAUUAGCUAGUUGGUGGGGUAAGGGCCCACCAAGGCGACGAUCCGUAGCUGGUCUGAGAGGAUGACCAGUCACACCGGAACUGAGACACGGUCCGGACUCCUACGGGAGGCAGCAGUGGGGAAUAUUGGACAAUGGGCGCAAGCCUGAUCCAGCCAUGCCGCGUGGGUGAAGAAGGCCU